AGGUUGAUGCUUUGGCAAUUGAAUUAGAUGGAUAGUUAACCUUCUUCCUCAUAUUGUUCUUGCGCGAAAACAGUGAGGAACCGAAUCAGAAGCGUGACCCACCCUUUCACACUCCUAAAGUACCUUGAACAUCUAAACUGAACCUCACCUCACUCCACACUUUCUGCCAAACCCAACCGAUGGUUGGGGGGGUAUGCAUGUUGGAUCAUUUUCCCUCAUAGUCUCUAUCAAGACCGUGGUUGUCCUAGGAGGGGAAUAAGCACUUAAGUUCCACUUCUAUUCCUUCCCUUUUCAACCGAACGUUCAUCAGCAAGGAAGUGAGGAGCUCAUCGCUGAUUCCUGUCCUUUCUUCCUCGUUUGGGACCAAGCCUAGCAUCAUUUUUCUGUUCCUUUUGGGCGCUGUUUAACUCAGCUCUAGGAGGUGAUGUGUUCGUUUUUUUUCCUCCUUGUUUAACUCAAAUUAAACCCGUUCUGAUUAAGUCUCGUUUUGUUCCACUGCAUGCCCAUGACUCGGCUGUGGUUGAGUCUCUCCUUCCUUGUGUAUGAUGGGAAUCAGUUCCGUGGAACAUUGGAUGAAGAAGGCUGCUGUUCCGGAAAUAAUUUACUAGCUGUAUGUACUUAUAAAGGGAUAACGCCCUGGUCAUGUAUAUUCAUCAUAGUCAUCUUAGUGCGUAUAUAACACCAUCAUUGCGCUCAUAGCACCGUCGUGCGCGCACCAUCACAGUGGAUAUUCCAUAAUGGCUCCCAUAAAGGUGAAUUCCAACUGUGGACCUAUGCGGACUGAAGCCAAGUGUCCCCUUCCCUGGUACCGAGGUGCGCCUGAUCCUUAAAGUGUGGGAUGAUUUUUGGUGCUGUUGAUUAUUGCUUGGACAUAAGGAUUGAGGCAUUUGGACCAACCGUAAGUGAUCAACCAUUGGAGCAAGCUAUGGAGCUUGAUUAGCUCCAUUGAAUAGGUUUUGUUUGAGAAGUGGAAUAUCGUAAUUAACGGGCUGUAGAAUCCGUGGGUGGUGAACAAAGGUCGAAUUGAAGCUUGAGGUAAGGAUGCUGCAGGAGCCUCUGGUGGCAAGUGACCAUAUCUGGAUUAGCAUAUGCAUGAAGUGUUGCAUUUUUUUGAUAUUAUACAUGUUGUUUUGUAGCUCGCAUGUAUAGAAUUGUAAUUAAUAGGUAAUGAUAGAUUAUGAUUUGUAUAUUGGAAUGGACUUAGCCUAUGCUCAUGCCUUUGGUCAUCUCUUUUGUUGAUGGGAGUCAAGGGAAUGAUCAUAGUGUUUUGUAAGCUAAGUUCCAUGAUUUGUAAUGGAUAUGUACUGUAAAUGAUGCCUACUUGAAAUUCAAUAUAU